CCUACGGGAGGCAGCAGUGGGGAAUUUUGGACAAUGGGCGCAAGCCUGAUCCAGCAAUGCCGCGUGAGUGAAGAAGGCCUUCGGGUUGUAAAGCUCUUUUGUCAGGGAAGAAACGGUGGGGGCUAAUAUCUCCUACUAAUGACGGUACCUGAAGAAUAAGCACCGGCUAACUACGUGCCAGCAGCCGCGGUAAUACGUAGGGUGCAAGCGUUAAUCGGAAUUACUGGGCGUAAAGCGUGCGCAGGCGGUUUUGUAAGUCUGUCGUGAAAGCCCCGGGCUCAACCUGGGAAUUGCGAUGGAGACUGCAAGGCUUGAAUCUGGCAGAGGGGGGUAGAAUUCCACGUGUAGCAGUGAAAUGCGUAGAGAUGUGGAGGAACACCGAUGGCGAAGGCAGCCCCCUGGGUCAAGAUUGACGCUCAUGCACGAAAGCGUGGGGAGCAAACAGGAUUAGAUACCCUGGUAGUCCACGCCCUAAACGAUGUCUACUAGUUGUCGGGUUUUAAUUAACUUGGUAACGCAGCUAACGCGUGAGUAGACCGCGUGGGGAGUCGGCGCGAAGUAUUAAAACCUUGAAAGGUAAUUGACGNNGAGAGNGCGAGACGACGACGAGGGAGGAGG
rnacentral:rRNA from 1 species